GAUGAACGCUGGCGGCGUGCCUAAUACAUGCAAGUCGAGCGAACAGACGAGGAGCUUGCUCCUCUGACGUUAGCGGCGGACGGGUGAGUAACACGUGGAUAACCUACCUAUAAGACUGGGAUAACUUCGGGAAACCGGAGCUAAUACCGGAUAAUAUAUUGAACCGCAUGGUUCAAUAGUGAAAGACGGUUUUGCUGUCACUUAUAGAUGGAUCCGCGCCGCAUUAGCUAGUUGGUAAGGUAACGGCUUACCAAGGCGACGAUGCGUAGCCGACCUGAGAGGGUGAUCGGCCACACUGGAACUGAGACACGGUCCAGACUCCUACGGUGGGCAGCAGUAGGGAAUCUUCCGCAAUGGGCGAAAGCCUGACGGAGCAACGCCGCGUGAGUGAAGAAGGUCUUCGGAUCGUAAAACUCUGUUAUUAGGGAAGAACAAAUGUGUAAGUAACUAUGCACGUCUUGACGGUACCUAAUCAGAAAGCCACGGCUAACUACGUG
rnacentral:rRNA from 1 species